GGGGUAAUAAUUAAUAAAAUAAAAUAUAAUAAAAAAAUUUUUAAAAUAUUAAAUGGGGGUUUUAGUAUAUUUAAGAAAAAAUUAUAUAUUUUAUAGUGAAUUAGUAUUGUAAAAGAAUUUUGAAAUAUAUUAAAUAAUAAUUUAUUUAAAAGUAAUUUUUAAUUAAUGUAUCUUGUGUAUCAGAGUUUAUUAAAAAAAUAUUUUUAUUAAAAUUUUCUCGAAUUUAAAAGAGAUAAUUAAUUAUAAUAGUUAUUGUGGCAUAAAUAUUAUUAAUAGUUAAUUUGAAAUGAAAUGUUAAUCGUUUUUAAAUAUAUCUAGUUUUUUUAGAAAAAAGUUUAAUUUUAAAUUUCUUUAAAAAUAAAUUAAUUAAUUAAUUUAUUUUUAAAGAAAUUUUAUAAUUUAAGGGAUAAGCUUUAAAUUAAAUUGAUAUAAUUAAUUUAUUUUAAAAAUGAAAAUUAUAUAAUUUAAAUUGUUAAAAAAUUUUAAUUUGUUAUAAAUAAUUUCAUUAAAUUAUAAAAUUUAAUAAAUAUUUAUUUUUUUAUAAAAAAAUAAAUUAUAAUAAUAAAAAUUUAGUUAUAAUGAUAAAAUUAGUAUAUAAUUAAAAUAAUGAAUUAAUUUAUUAAAAUAAGUAAAUUAAAGGAAUUCGGCAAAUUUAAAUAUUCACUUGUUUAUCAAAAACAUGUCUUUUUGAAAUAAUUUAAAGUCUAAUCUGCCCACUGAUAUUAUAUUAAAGGGCUGCAGUAUAUUGACUGUACAAAGGUAGCAUAAUCAUUAGUCAUUUAAUUGAUGACUUGUAUGAAGGAUUGGAUGAAAUAUUAACUGUCUUUAAUUUAAAUUAUUGAAUUUAAUUUUUAAAUUAAAAAGUUUAAAUUUAUUAAAAAGACGAGAAGACCCUAUAGAGUUUUAUAAAUUUAGAUAAUUUAAUAAUAAUUUAUUAAAUUAGUAUAAAAAUUAAUUAAUUUAUUUUAUUGGGGUGAUAGAAAAAUUUAUAUAACUUUUUUUAUAAGUAAACAUAAAUAAGUGAAUAAAUGAUCCAUUAUUAAUGAUUAAAAGAAAAAAUUACCUUAGGGAUAACAGCGUAAUUUUUUUUUUUAGUUCACAUAAAAAAAAGAGUUUGCGACCUCGAUGUUGGAUUAAGAUAAAAUUUAAAUGCAGAAGUUUAAAGUUUUUGAUCUGUUCGAUCAUUAAAAUCUUACAUGAUCUGAGUUCAAACCGGUGUAAGCCAGGUUGGUUUCUAUCUUUUAAAAAAUAAAAUAUUUUAGUACGAAAGGAUUAAAUAUUUAAAUUAAAUUUAUUUAAAAAUGAUUAAUAAUAAUUUUAUUAUAAAAAUUUAAUUUUAUUAUUUAU
rnacentral:rRNA from 1 species